AAGGGUCAAAUGGUUUGUUUUCCUUUCUCUUCCCUUAUUUUCCCUUCCCUCUCCCUUCCCCUCCCUUGCUUCUCUUUUUGAGGCUGGGUCCUAUGCAGUAUAGGCUGGUCUUACUGUGUGGCUGAGCAUGACUUUGAACUCCUGAUUCUCCUGCUAUUACUUUCUGAGUUCUGGAAUUUUAGGCAUGUGGGUCCAUGCCUGGUUUAUGCAGUGCUGAGGAUGGAGCCCAGGUGUCAGGCAUACUAGGCAAGCACUGUGCCAGCUGACCCAUGUGCCCCACCCCCAGCUGUUAUGCUGAUGUUGAGGUGUCUGCUCUGAUUCAGUGAUGCACCAGGCAGUAUUGUUAGCCACAGGGACCAAGACGGGGCUAUGGUCACAAGUGACUGUCAUAGGCUGUGAAAGUGAUCAGGGAACUAGUGCUGUUUGAGCCACCUGUAACCGGCACACUCCUUGGAAGGAAACACACUGCAGUGCUUGGACCCACCAGGAACUUACUUCCAGCCUCAAACUUCAUUGUAGUCACUUUCAGGGUGGGGAAACUGAGGCCAGGAGAAGUAUCCAAAAGUCUAAGCUUUCAGUACUACUCAUGGUACCUCAGAGACAGACCCUCUGUCCCCUGAUGCUCUGCAGCAUACACAUACGAGAUUGCCCACCUACAACAAGGCAGGAGCUUCCAGGGAGAAUCCUGGACCCGGACGUAGUUCCUCUCCCCCACCCCCGCCAUGACUGUAGUCUGCUCCCCCUCAGUUCUCCAGCUCUGUGACUAAGAGAACCCCUGAGGCCCCAUUUCUGUGAGGCCCUAUUUCUGCCCAGCCCCCAGCCACCCCCUUGCUUUGGGAGCCCCCAGGCUUGUGAGCCACAGUUCCUAAGACAAGCAGGGCCGUGGGUGGGGUAUGUGGGAUAAUUAUAGUCUUGGAUGGCUUGGCUCAGAGGCUGAGAGGCAGGGAUGCAGUUCUUCCCGCAGGCUCCGGGAGUGGAGUCUGAGUCAGAACCAGAUCCCCCAGCCCCUCCCCUUGGGUCUGGACCAGUGGUCUUGUUUAGCCAGCCCAUAUACCCUCUAGUCUGUGGUAUGUUAGCUUCUCCAUGCUUUGCACGUUCUUCUGACUGUGGACUUACUGAUGCGUAUACUAAUGCAUGGAUGUAAGAGAUCUUGGGGUGCAGAUGGGGCAGGACUGGCAUGGCCUGGGGUGGUUAGCCAGCCAAGCUCUAACUUGGAGCCAUCGUUAGCUGCAGCACAGUCUUUCCCACAUCCUUGGAAGAUUCUGUGCUUUCCUUUCCUCAUCUGAGAGAACCCGGGACCAUCUGGCCAGGGGCAGCAGAGCCCACACGGAGGUGGGCCCUCCCUCUGUCAAUCACUAACCAAGGUGUGCUCGUAGGCCAGUCGGAUGGAGGCAUUUUCUCAACUGAGGUUUUUCUUUCUCAGAUGACUUUACCUUGUGUCAACCUGACAAAAAGCUAACCACCACACUAUGUGAACCUCCCUGCAUCCUGAAUUCGGGUGAGAAUUAAAGGAACUCAUAGACAUGGAGAAUUAGAUCCAGCAAAGAAGCAGUCAACAGAAAGACUGGGCAAUCUGCAUCAUGAGGGAAAAUAUUUGUGAAGCCACGUUAUCAGUCCUUCGCAUUCUCUGGUCCCACAGAGUGAACUCAAUAAACCUUGGGUUGAAAAUCGGGGAUGUGUGGAUUUUUUUUGUAACUAUUCUAUAAAUAAUACAACUAUUUAUGUUUCGUUUGAAUUAAAAGUAACCCAGAGAUUAUUAAAGUAUGUGCACAUUAUAAUAAGCAAA